GAUGAACGCUGGCGGCGUGCCUAAUACAUGCAAGUCGAGCGAACGGACGAGACGCUUGCUUCUCUGUUGUUAGCGGCGGACGGGUAAGUAACACGUGGAUAACCUACCUAUAAGACUGGGAUAACUUCGGGAAACCGGAGCUAAUACCGGAUAAUAUUUUGAACCGCAUGGUUCAAAAGUGAAAGACGGUCUUGCUGUCACUUCUAGAUGGAUCCGCGCUGCAUUAGCUAGUUGGUAAGGUAACGGCUUACCAAGGCAACGAUGCAUAGCCGACCUGAGAGGGGGAUCGGCCACACUGGAACUGAGACACGGUCCAGACUCCUACGGGAGGCAGCAGUAGGGAAUCUUCCGCAAUGGGCGAAAGCCUGACGGAGCAACGCCGCGUGAGUGAUGAAGGUCUUCGGAUCGUAAAACUCUGUUAUUAGGGAAGAACAUAUGUGUAAGUAACUGUGCACAUCUUGACGGUUCCUAAUCAGAAAGCCACGGCUAACUACGUG
rnacentral:rRNA from 1 species